GAGGAUUCAUGCCAUAAACAGUGCAAAAAAAAAGUAUAAUCAUAAAGUACAGUAAAAUAUAAUUCUGUGAUCAUAUUUAGAGAGAGAAAUAGGAUUUUUUUUCCCAUUAUUCUUUCCACAUGUCUGGUUGGUUCAGAGUGGAAGAAAUAUGCAAAUCUUUCUUUAUUCUUGUAAAAAACCUAAAUUGAGCAGGAUGGAAAGGAUCUGUGUAACCAACUACUUUUGAGGCUGGGCUGAGUUGAGUUGAGUUGUUAUAUAAUAAGGGCUUAGUACUCUAUUAUUGCUUCGGUAUAAGGAGCAAUGCUUUGUUAAUGUUCAUGUUGUGUUAGAUUUUGUAGAAUCUCUAUAAUGUAUUUGAUUUUCUUGGUAUUAUGUUCAUUGUUUGCACUCCAUUGGUACUCCUUAAUUAUUUUUCAUCAGUCAUUAGAAACAAGAAAAUUGCAUAAAGCAUGGGGGCUGGCUAAGUUUCUUGAGGGUGAAAAACUCUUCAUUGUGCUACUGUUUGCCCUUGGUCUCUUCUAUGUUUUCCCUGUGCUUUCUAUGCUUUGGUAUGAGAGCAAGUCCUAUUAUUUUGUUGCACUAUAAGAAAAGAUAGUAUCUUUAAACGUCUAUGUUCUGAUGGAAAAAAAACAAUGGAGGCAAGUAGCACAUAUAUCAAACCAGGGUUUAAUUUUGAUUUCAAUAUGUUUGAACUUCCAAGACACUGUCAAGACUCUAAAUUCUUUGGUUGCAGAAUACCAUUUCUUGGCCUAAUUUUGUUCUGCUUAUAAGAUUGCAGAGCUAGAUUUGGAAAUGCACCCCUUGGAAAAAGAGAAA
rnacentral:misc_RNA from 1 species